GGGCAUGCGGCAGGCUAUACAUGCAGUCGAACGGGGCAGUUCAGCAAUGGACUGUUCAGUGGCGCACGGGUGCGUAACGCGUAUGCAACCUACCUUAAACUGGGGGAUAGCCUUCCGAAAGGGAGAUUAAUACCGCAUAAGAUCAUUUGAUGGCAUCUGAAGAUGAUUAAAGAUUUAUUGGUUUAAGAUGGGCAUGCGUGCCAUUAGCUAGUUGGUAGUGUAACGGACUACCAAGGCGACGAUGGCUAGGGGUUCUGAGAGGAUGAUCCCCCACACUGGUACUGAGAUACGGACCAGACUCCUACGGGAGGCAGCAGUAGGGAAUAUUGGGCAAUGGACGGAAGUCUGACCCAGCCAUGCCGCGUGCAGGAAGAAGGCCUUCUGGGUUGUAAACUGCUUUUAUAUAGGAAGAAAACACCCAUGCGUGGGAACCUGACGGUACUAUAUGAAUAAGCACCGGCUAACUCCGUGCCAGCAGCCGCGGUAAUACGGAGGGUGCAAGCGUUGUCCGGAUUUAUUGGGUUUAAAGGGUGCGUAGGCGGCCCGUUAAGUCAGUGGUGAAAGCCUCCAGCUCAACUGGAGAACUGCCAUUGAUACUGACGGGCUUGAGUACAGACGAGGUUGGCGGAAUUGAUUGUGUAGCGGUGAAAUGCAUAGAUACAAUCAAGAACUCCGAUUGCGUAGGCAGCUAACUAGGCUGUAACUGACGCUGAGGCACGAAAGCGUGGGGAGCGAACAGGAUUAGAUACCCUGGUAGUCCACGCUGUAAACGAUGAUUACUCGAUGUCGGCGAUAAACUGUCGGCGUCUUAGCGAAAGCGUUAAGUAAUCCACCUGGGGGAGUACGCCCGCAAGGGUGAAACUCAAAGGAAUUGACGGGGGCCCGCACAAGCGGUGGAGCAUGUGGUUUAAUUCGAUGAUACGCGAGGAACCUUACCUAGGCUAGAAUGCGCGUGACCGACUCAGAGAUGAGUCUUUCCUUCGGGACACAAAGCAAGGGUGCUGCAUGGCCGUCGU
rnacentral:rRNA from 1 species